rnacentral:lncRNA from 1 species
ACUCGGAACCACUGCUCUUGGCCCUUGGCUUUCUGUGUUUCCCGCUCCCAAUACUCCGGCCCCUCCUGCUCCAUCCACGGCGCCCGCGGCUCAUAUCUCGGAUUCUCCGCGUCGCUGUCGAAGCGCACGAACUCCUUGUUGUCCACAUAGCCGACAGAGAUGUACCGGGGCUCCUCGAGGCCGGGCCGGGACACGGCGGUCUCGAAAUACCGCAUCGAGUGUGGGCCUGGGGACGGCGCGCGGUGAGACCCCGACCUCCUCACCAAACCCCGGGCGGCUGCGCAGGCCGGGAGGGGAUCUGGGCGCGGGGCUCAGGUGGAGAAGGGGCGGAGGGUCCGGUGGGCGACGCGGGGACGCGGCUUCCCCCGUGCCGCCCCUCUCCCCGCAGAGGCCGUUUCCCUCCCGACCCCGCACUCACCCGCGCGGGUCUGAGUCGGGGCCAGGGCGGCCGCCAGCAGCAGGAGCAGCGUGCGCGGAGCCAUCGCCCCCAUCUGGGAUCCCGGGUGUCUGAGUCCCGCGGGUUGCGUGGACUUUAUAACCAGCGUCCGCGGCGACGCUGAUUGGCUCCUGGAAUCUCGCCACCCAAUGAUAGUGAGACCUGCCAGCGCGUCAUCAGUGUCCCGGCAGAAGGACCUGACCCAGGUUAGGUGCAGAAGUGAAACUGAGGAGAUGGGGAAUCCCCAGCCCUGGGCUUCCCCACCCCUGACCUCACCGCCUGGCAACCAAGACUUUGCCUGAACCCUGUACUGCGGACAGAGAGCAGUUUGUCGUGGUGACUCCGAGUUCUGACCCAGAAGCUGUCAGAUCACCAGGAGAGACCCACAAGCCCGACUCACUGUUUCCUAACCUCCACCCUUCCUCUUCCUUCUUCUCUUCAGAAGUCACACCCUAGAGUCUUCUAGAAGAAAGGUCACUUCCGGGAAUACAAUGGCGACACAAGCGCUUAGGGAUGCAGUGGAGAGAGGCUUCUCUUUAAAGCAGAGGCGCUGGCCUGCAAGCCCCACAGGGAUCCCACAGAGACCAGGCUCUGUUCACCUGCAAUGGGCGGCUCACACUGCCAAGCCUGAGUGCAGGACUCUCAUCUGUAAAGGGGAGACUUUGCCUAUUUCCUCAGGAUCUGUCUUCUCAGCCUCGGGCUUAGUCUCAGACUCCUCCUGUUUCUUCCCAUAUGAAGCCUCUGUAGCUCCAGAUGGGUGUGUUUUAUGUAGAAGAAUUGUCAUUCUCAGUCCUGAGAUUGUCCGGGUGGACCUAGGUCAUUGUCUCAGCACUGUAGACCCCGUUGUCCACUGGGAAGAGGGCUUGGUAUCAAAGGAACAUAAAUUUUAUUAAUCACCCC